AAGACAGCUGCAUGUAAUUGACAAGAAUAAAGAGGGGAAUGUGGUUGCUGCACGGAUGAGAUUUUCUCCCUGCUUGAGUGAGUUAGAUGAUUGAACUUAAACAAUGGGAUAUGCCUCUCUGAGGAAGAGUUUUUCCCAGAAACAGAAGGAAAGGCGCGUUCCUGUUAGAGGCUUGUGACAUACCCACUUCAACUUCAGGUUUGGAGAGUUCUUGCAUGAAUUUUGGAAGCCAGAAAUUUGGCAUAACUGCAAAAGCAUGUUGAAAAAAUAUAGAAACUUUUCCUGUUGAAUUAUCGGAGCACCAGCACUUUAAUUCAGCCCAUUGGAACGGGUGAAUCGGCAUGAGUUUUUACAAGUCGGAAAUUGACGCUAUUAAAAGGACUGGAAUAAAUGAAUUGAUGGAAUAAUGAAAUUUGUAGAUGAUUUAGGAUCACUAUGUGUAUGUGAUUAGAAUGAAGUUUUGAUAUUGUGAAUUUUUGCAUUGUAUUUCUUUAAGCACUUGUUAUUUAGUUAUUAAGUUUUUGCCUUUAAAUAUUUGUUAUAGAAA